UAUGUACUUCCUCCGUUUCGAAUUACUUGUCACAGAUAUGGAUGUAUCUAGAUAUAUUUUAGUUCUAGAUACAUCCAUUUCUGCGACGAAUAAUUUGGAACGGAGGGAGCAGUAA
rnacentral:pre_miRNA from 1 species